rnacentral:rRNA from 1 species
GGACCUGACUGCUAUCGGAUUGAUANUAAGCCAUGCGAGUCAUUGUAGCAAUACAAGGCAUACGGCUCAGUAACGCGUAGUCAACCUAACCUAUGGACGGGAAUAACCUCGGGAAACUGAGAAUAAUGCCCGAUAGAACAUUAUGCCUGGAAUGGUUUAUGUUCCAAAUGAUUUAUCGCCGUAGGAUGGGACUGCGGCCUAUCAGUUUGUUGGUGAGGUAAUGGCCCACCAAGACUAUUACAGGUACGGGCUCUGAGAGGAGUAGCCCGGAGAUGGGUACUGAGACACGGACCCAGGCCCUAUGGGGCGCAGCAGGCGAGAAAACUUUGCAAUGUGCGAAAGCACGACAAGGUUAAUCCGAGUGGUUUCUGCUAAAGAAACCUUUUGUCAGUCCUAGAAACACUGAUGAAUAAGGGGUGGGCAAGUUCUGGUGU